GACGAACGCUGGCGGCGUGCCUAAUACAUGCAAGUAGAACGCUGAAGAGAGGAGCUUGCUCUUCUUGGAUGAGUUGCGAACGGGUGAGUAACGCGUAGGCAACCUGCCUUGUAGCGGGGGAUAACUAUUGGAAACGAUAGCUAAUACCGCAUAACAAUGGAUGACACAUGUCAUUUAUUUGAAAGGGGCAAUUGCUCCACUACAAGAUGGACCUGCGUUGUAUUAGCUAGUAGGUGAGGUAACGGCUCACCUAGGCGACGAUACAUAGCCGACCUGAGAGGGUGAUCGGCCACACUGGGACUGAGACACGGCCCAGACUCCUACGGGAGGCAGCAGUAGGGAAUCUUCGGCAAUGGGGGCAACCCUGACCGAGCAACGCCGCGUGAGUGAAGAAGGUUUUCGGAUCGUAAAGCUCUGUUGUAAGUCAAGAACGAGUGUGAGAGUGGAAAGUUCACACUGUGACGGUAGCUUACCAGAAAGGGACGGCUAACUACGUG
rnacentral:rRNA from 1 species